rnacentral:pre_miRNA from 1 species
GCCUCCCGUGCCUACUGAGCUGAAACACAGUUGGUUUGUGCAGACUGGCUCAGUUCAGCAGGAACAGGAGU